rnacentral:rRNA from 1 species
AUACGGAGGGUGCAAGCGUUACUCGGAAUCACUGGGCGUAAAGCGCGCGCAGGCGGGCUGAUAAGUUGGAUGUGAAAGCCUACGGCUCAACCGUAGAACUGCAUCCAAAACUGUCAGUCUAGAGUGUGGGAGAGGAAGAUGGAAUUAGUUGUGUAGGGGUAAAAUCCGUAGAGAUAACUAGGAAUACCAAAAGCGAAGGCAAUCUUCUGGAACACUACUGACGCUGAGGCGCGAAGGCGUGGGGAGCAAACAGGAUUAGAUACCCCAGUAGUCC